AUUGAACGCUGGCGGCAUGCCUAACACAUGCAAGUCGAACGGAGGUAGGGGCAACUCUACUUCAGUGGCGGACGGGUGAGGAAUGCGUCGGAAUCUACCCUAUGGUGGGGGAUAACACAGGGAAACUUGUGCUAAUACCGCAUGAUGUCGAGAGACCAAAGCAGGGGACCGCAAGGCCUUGCGCGAUAGGAUGAGCCGACGCCCGAUUAGCUAGUUGGUAGGGUAAUGGCCUACCAAGGCGACGAUCGGUAGCUGGUCUGAGAGGAUGAUCAGCCACACUGGGACUGAGACACGGCCCAGACUCCUACGGGAGGCAGCAGUGGGGAAUAUUGGACAAUGGGCGCAAGCCUGAUCCAGCAAUGCCGCGUGUGUGAAGAAGGCCUGCGGGUUGUAAAGCACUUUUGUUCGGGAAGAAAACGGUCUGGUUAAUACCCGGUUCGGAUGACGGUACCGAAAGAAUAAGCACCGGCUAACUUCGUGCCAGCCGCCGCAGUAAUAC
rnacentral:rRNA from 1 species